rnacentral:rRNA from 1 species
UGGGGAAUCUUCCGCAAUGGACGAAAGUCUGACGGAGCAACGCCGCGUGUAUGAUGAAGGUCUUCGGAUUGUAAAGUACUGUCAUUGGGGAAGAACGGUUUUCUUGAAAAGAUUGAGAAGACAUGACGGUACCCAAGGAGGAAGCCCCGGCUAACUACGUGCCAGCAGCCGCGGUAAUACGUAGGGGGCAAGCGUUGUCCGGAAUUAUUGGGCGUAAAGGGCGCGUAGGCGGGCCUUUAAGUCCGGUGUGAAAGAUCAGGGCUCAACCCUGAGAGUGCAUCGGAAACUGGAGGCCUUGAGGACAGGAGAGGAAAGUGGAAUUCCACGUGUAGCGGUGAAAUGCGUAGAUAUGUGGAGGAACACCAGUGGCGAAGGCGACUUUCUGGACUGUAACUGACGCUGAGGCGCGAAAGCGUGGGG